AUUGAACGCUGGCGGCAGGCCUAACACAUGCAAGUCGAGCGGAUGAAGGGAGCUUGCUCCUGGAUUCAGCGGCGGACGGGUGAGUAAUGCCUAGGAAUCUGCCUGGUAGUGGGGGAUAACGUCCGGAAACGGGCGCUAAUACCGCAUACGUCCUGAGGGAGAAAGUGGGGGAUCUUCGGACCUCACGCUAUCAGAUGAGCCUAGGUCGGAUUAGCUAGUUGGUGGGGUAAAGGCCUACCAAGGCGACGAUCCGUAACUGGUCUGAGAGGAUGAUCAGUCACACUGGAACUGAGACACGGUCCAGACUCCUACGGGAGGCAGCAGUGGGGAAUAUUGGACAAUGGGCGAAAGCCUGAUCCAGCCAUGCCGCGUGUGUGAAGAAGGUCUUCGGAUUGGAAAGCACUUUAAGUUGGGAGGAAGGGUAGUAAGUUAAUACCUUGCUGUUUUGACGUUACCAACAGAAUAAGCACCGGCUAACUUCGUG
rnacentral:rRNA from 1 species